UUUAAAAGCGAUUCGGCCCCGCGGCGGGCCGGCCAGUGAGUGGGAUGGAUCGCGGCCGGCGACCGACCCCGGCCCGUCUAGGCCAGCCGUCCGCCCACGUCUCUGCCGCCGGGCCCCGGGCGGCGGCCCGAGCCCCGAGUGCCGGCUCCCCUCCCCCGCGGGUGUCAGUCGCUGGCCCCACCCGGUGCCCCCCCACCCCUGUGCCACGGCCGGCUGGGGUUCCUGGGGAUGGGAUUUGCUGCCUGUCUCAAAUCACAUUGCCAGGGAUUUCCAACCGACCCUGAGCCCUGCCUCUGGGGCUGCCGCCACCGCCACUGCUGAGGACCGGACUGGGGCUGGGUGGCAGAGAGGCUCCUGCUGUCCAUGUCUGGCCUGGGGAGCAGGGCUUAGCUGCUUGUGAGCAGAGUCCACAGCAAGUCGUGUUCACAGUGGCUAAGUUCCGCCCCCCGGGACCCCGCCUCCUCUGGCUCUGCCUCUGCGCCUGCCUGUCCCGCUGGCUGUCCGGGCCUCCCUGGGCUCUGCCUCCCGUGCCUACUGAGCUGAAACACAGUUGAUUUGUGCAGACUGGCUCAGUUCAGCAGGAACAGGAGUCAAGCCCCCUUGGAGUCUGUGGCGCCUGCCUUCCUCGGGUGGACUGAUGCCUGUGGGGGGGUGGGGGAGACCCAGACCUAUGUCUGGGGGAGGGACUUGGGGAGGGAGGUAGCCUGGAAUGGGCUAGGUGGACCCAGCUGUCUGUUGCCCCCCCCCCCAGCUCUAUACUUGGGGAGGGCCUCCCCCCUGCAUAAUCAUACCUACAGCUGGCCUGCACUCCUGGGGAGGUUGGCCCUUCCACGAAUAAAGGAAAAGUUGUGUCUGCACCCCUCCCCCCCAACAACACUCCCAGCCUGGAGCCUUUCUCUCCCAAGCCUGGUGGGGCAUGGGCCAGGCCUGUACCUUCCCGGCAGCCAGUUGUUACUCAAGAGGAAGCUGCCUUGGGCCCCCAGACCGUUAAAUGCCAACUCCAGCUUCCGGAACCAGGCUGGCCUGACCUGAGUGUGCCUGGCUCCUUCUCACAGAACCCUGCAGCUUCCAAACUCGGAGGGAGGAGCCGUGACACCCUCCUGGCACGAGGGGAGGGGAGGGGAGCAAGGUGCCUGUGAACCCAGAAAGGACAUAACUGGGACUUUUCAGUCCUCUGGUGGUGCCAGGGUGUGUAAGAGUGGAGGAGACUGUCCAGAAUCAGAUGGGAUGGGGCUCUUUUUGGAGUGAGACUGGGGAACCAGAGAGAAGCCCCCUAAGGUGUCAGGCCUGGCCUGGGGUUCGUGUCCCACCCUGGGUAGGGGCAGGGUCUGUGUUGUGUGUGGUUCCUGUUGUCCAGCUAAAUAAAAGCUGCCCCCUGCCUCA